UACGUAGGCAGCGAGCGUUGUUCGGAAUUACUGGGCGUAAAGAGUGUGUAGGCGGUGCUCCAAGUUCGGUGUGAAAUCUCCUGGCUUAACUGGGAGGGUGCGCCGGAAACUGGGGUGCUCGAGCGUGGGAGAGGAAAGCGGAAUUCCUGGUGUAGCGGUGAAAUGCGUAGAUAUCAGGAGGAACACCUGUGGUGUAGACAGCUUUCUGGACCAUUGCUGACGCUGAGACACGAAAGCGUGGGUAGCAAACAGG
rnacentral:rRNA from 1 species